UGCAAAACACUCAACCGGAGGGAUUAAGGCUCUUUGUUAGUGUUUACGUUAUCUGUUUUUAAUUCCUAUAUAUCCUGUCUUUAUCUCAGUGUUUCAACACUAAUUGCAAAACAGCCCUCACUCUCGGUAAUGAGCCCCUGGCCCUUUGCAGACCUCUGGGCAGAGCCUGCUGUAGAUAAGGCAAGCCCUUAACAAGGUUCGGCGGCUGCAUCAGGGCUUUUCCAGCCUUCCAGAGGCUUGGCUCUGCUCAUCUGGCCUUCCAGAGGCAAAUCCAGUUCACUAAAUGAUGUAGUUCUGGGUGAUAUCUUUGUCUGCUGAAAGCCUCUAACCUCGGCCAAGUGAAUGAAAUGAAUAUGAUGUCCUUGGCCUCUUCGGGAUCUUUCUUGACUUCAGAUAGAGUGGGACUGGGCAUUAGAACUGGAAAGCACCCGUUCCGCCUGGUACCCAGGGCAAGGCUACGCCCAACCCAGAUGCUGCUGCUAUAUGGCAAAUCCCACUGCCCUGGUACAGACAGAAGCCAAAUGAAUCUUGUUCUAAGAAUCUCAUUCUCCAUCUCUGCCCCCACAAAUGUCCAUGCUGCCGUUGGGUAAAAGCUCCCUGGGUUCUGCUUGCACUGGAACUGCAGCCGAGUGUCAAAGGAAGGCAAUGAGCCCUUAUAUCAAUGGACCGACCGACCGCUCAACUGCCACCUACGUUUAUUUUAUUUAGCAAGAGAAGAACCGCCUCCCGCCCUUUCUUCCCUUUAGCCCCGAUUUCCCACUCAACCAUUUCUAUGAUUACAAAUAUCUUUCACUCCUUUUUCAUUACGGAGACACCUACACAUUGAAAGGGUACCUAUUUCAUCUUCCUGUCUUGUCUCUUCCUGUAUGCCCCUUCCAGAGUCUUAAUUCAGGGACCGUUGCUAAGCAACUAUACAUCAUAGCAGCCAGUCACCAAUUACUAAUUGUCCCCAGCACUUUAGCCUUACAAAUCUGGACUGCCAGUGACAAUGGCACAGUUUCCACUGCCAAAAACAUACCGAGAGGUUUCCUUGCCCAGGAAAGACAGAGAGAGACACUAAUAGCUAGGUACCGUCCUCACAGCAGUUAACAAAGACUUCCUGUCUCACACCUGCCCCAUCCCUGCACUGCUAUAAGCCCAUUGGCUAGACAUGGAUCUCCUCUCUCUGUCUAGGAAAGAAGCUGGAGGGAUGGCUGGAGACACGCAAACACAUGUGCAGAGGUGAACAUGGACACUGGGAUCUCACACGCACUCACCUUCCUCCCCUGCUGCCGGAGUUUCUAGCUGAAUUGAGGAUCUAUUAGUAAUCAAAUUUCAGCCUCAAUUUUAUGGUUAGUGUAAUGGAGUUAAUUUCUCUAAUGCUAGCAGUUCAUGGAAGGGGUCUCUUGCGGCAGCACAGACCUGGGACCUGCGGCAGCUGUCAGAGAUGCCGCUAAGGAAUUCCUUAUUAGCUAAGAUGCAACCAGGCAGAAAACUCAUUACACAGUGCUAAAUAUACUUAAUCACAUCUAUUAGAGAAAAAUGAACUUGAUAAUUACAACAAAUAACUAAACUGCAGAAAGUGUUUAAGGCAAAGGGGAAAAAAAAUCCAUGCCAGGAUCUAAAUGUACGGGGGCCCUGGGCUGAACCACACUGAGGGGGAAGCAGGGAACUUAUAUGCAGCUUUGUGCUGAAGGAGAAAUGGUCUGUCGGUUGGUUGGUCUCCAGGUAGGUGGAGCUGGCGCAAGGUGCCUAUGAAAAUGAUGCAUUUACAUUUCAAAACUGCCCUUGUUUAUUUGGUAGGUGUAAAAUUUUAAUUGAAGAGAAAUCUUCUGGGUGAGAGCUGUGUUUGCAGAUGGAAUCCUAGGUGGGGUGACAGGGAGGGCCUUCGAGGGAGGGAGCCCACAGCAAACUCUCAGCUUGAAGAACGGGGAUCUGCGACAGCUGUGUGGCACAAGACCACCUUUCCGGAACCUAACGAACGCCGAAUCAAAUUUUUCUGCUUUUCUUGGUCACAAAACUGAAGUCCCAAAGUGGGGAGACCUUUAAUCACGGCUGCCUAGGGAAUUUCCUUAAAGAGUCCUGGAAUGAACAUCACCUAUUCAUUUUUCCAGACUCAGAUCCUUAGAAACUGGGGGAGAGAGAGCAAACCCAUUUUUUGUUGUUGUUGUUGUUUUGUAGCCCAGGUAACCCUGCACUUUUGCUCUUCCUGCCUUAAGGCUCCAGAACACUAGACUUGCAGGCACGCGCUACCACACUCAGUUUAAAACUAGACAUUUUGAGAAGUGGAUGCUUGCCAGUCCUAGAGACAGGGAUAGUUUGGGAGCACAUGCUAGUCCCUCUCAGAGUCCAGUUGCAGGAGCAUAGGAGGAGGCUGGCUUCAGCCUGGAUGGACCCUUGCCUCUGGUGUGUCCCCCACAGAAAGGACAGACAGAGACAUGGGUUUUCGGCAGAAAAGUGGCCAUAUGAGUUCAUCUCAAAAAAACAAAAAACAAAAAACAAAAAACUGCUGAACAAAAUUCCAUUGUCCUCUUUGGCCACUGGUGGCAGCAGCAGCAGAGCCUCUUCCUUGCUCUGAAUUCUGGGAAAGAGAAUUCAGGCCUGUGCAGCAGGACAAUCACGGGGAAACACUUUCCUCCUAGAGCUCACAUCUGAAGGAGAAUGAGAAUAGAAGCGAUGGGCCAGAUGGGCCAGAUCUCUCUCACUCCUGUUUCCUGAUUCGGAGUUCACAUUCUGAUCAGACUGCUUGGUGAACGGCCUUUCUGGUGGGUGAAAGGCAUUCUGGUUUGGUCACAGAGCAUCUAUCUAGCUGUCUGGUUACCCUGCCACAGUUUUCCUCCAGGAAAUCUCGUCUUAGCUCAAGAACUCACAUACAGCUCAGUCACCUCCAUCCUGGCAGAGAACACUCCCUGGUUAAACCAAGGCAAGUGAGCGGGUGUACUAGGAAUGCUACGUAGCCCUCAAUUCCCCAUAGGAGAUGGACAUGGAGGGUCAGCUGUUGCAACCACUUCUUGGUGACCCAGAGGACAGACUGAAUGGGAAGGGGACUGACUCACAGAAGUCGGAGCAGCACAUAGACAAAAUAACAGACCCCAGCAUCAUACUCUACAAAAGCCAGGCACCAGGACUUUUGCAGAAAUAUGAGCCAAUAAAUUAGCAUCCCCAUGACAAAUCUCUCCCCUAACCUCAGCCAGGCUCCUGCCCACUGAAGGAGUCCCGACAGAAUUUCACUUGUUCACUGUUAACCGCAAGACUCUGUGUGGACUCAUCUGCCCUAUGAGAGGACAAAGAAGUGACACAGGAGAAUGAUGUGCCUCAAGGGAGAUGACCCAAGCCAGGGGACCACUGCCUCUGUGCUCAGUGCCUUAGGAGAGGGCCUAUCAGACCUAGGCUACUGGAAGGCAAUGGUCAGGCCCUGGCCCUUAGCCUGGCAGAGAUCAGAGGCCACAGGAGUACCAGCCCCAGCCAGACAUGCAGCUGCAUUGCGUUUCAUCACGUAUCAAUUUUUACUGAAAAGAAAACCAUACAAAUUUAAUCAGCUCUUCAUAUGGAAACAUUUAACUUUUUUUCCCCUGGAGUUGUUUGAUAUUAUUGUUUUAAGAGUCAGGAUAAAAAAAAAAAACAGUCAAGAUGUGUGAUAGUAGUGGACAUCCAUUUCUGGCAGGAGUGCAAGUCUCAUUUCCAGUAGACUCGAGUCUUAAAUGCACUGGCGUCUCUGCCAAUUGCCUGGCUCGAUGAAGAACAUAUUACAUGCCCAUAACCAUGAAGAGGACAAGGGGAUCCAUCCUGCACAGCUCUCAUCGGACUCAAGCUGAGAAUGAGACGGUCUGAGGAAAGCUCCGGCUUAGGGCAUGCUGGUAGGGCAUCUAAACCUCAGGGGUUUACAGUCUCUCCUUUGCCCUUCAGAGAUGUUAUCAACUAGCCUUGCUCCAGAGCUUCUACGCUCCGAAAGCCUGUAACGUGGAGCUCUUACAUACUACCUAUUAAAGAACUGUGUUCUCUCUCAGUAGCCAUAAAAUGUAAAACACCUCUUAAAAGAGACUUUCUCUGUUUCCCAGCCAAGGGCACACGAGAUGAAAGAAGCUGACUUUUAAAUACAAUUUUAAAACACCGUGUUAAAUAAAAUGAUGUAUCGAUACAUGCUAGGUGAUUCAAACACCAGCUCUGCUUUUGAGAUCGUGGGCACUCUGGAAUGUCCAAGUGAUGUAAUCGAAGGGAAAGCCAAGAACUUUGUCUCAGAAAAAAGUUCUUCAGAAGCCCAGGGCAGAGAAGAAGGAGCGCUGGGACCAACUGGAUUUGGAUCACCUGGCCCACAAGGGUCCCGCAAAGGGUGACCAAUGCCUAGCCAGGACAAGAGCCUGAACUGUUGGAGCCAGUGUCAAAUCCUUAGAGACUUCAAACCCUAACAUGUUUAGAAAGCCAUUUGUAUUGACAGAAUGCUGGCAAUGCAGCCAUUAAGAGUCCAGGCAACAGCUAAUUCCUCUCGGUGUCACUUCAAGAUGGCGUUACCUGAGCCGGGCGGUGGUGGUGCAUGCCUUUAAUCCCAGCACUAGGGAGGCAGAGGCAGGCGGAUUUCUGAGUUGGAGGCCAACCUGGUCUACAAAGUGAGUUCCAGGACAGCUAGAGCUACUACACAGAGAAACCCUGUCUCAAGAACAAACAAACAAACAAACAAACAAAAGAUGGUGUUACCUGCCUGCUCCUAAACCCCCAAAGGAGCUUCCCUUCACCAACACCGAUUUUUCCCAAUGGGGUGAAGAAAUGGAGGCCUUUGUCAGCCAUUGAGAAGACACUAUUGAGAGGGGGACAUCUGGAAACCACAGCACCAAAAACUUCACGUCAACAUUAUGGGUAACACUUUUUAGUUUUUUUUUUAGGCGAAAAAGAAAAUGCCGUUCCUAUUAUGCAAUCGGGCAACUGAAGAUGUCUACCUUCAGAGAAGCGAGUGUUUGUGGUGAGACUUGGGCUGGAAGCUUAGGACGAGAACGCUCUCGUGCCGUCUGCUCUGGUUUCCCUGUCCCUUCCCAUUAACGUUUUUUGCUCUCUGUGGCAAAUCAAUCAGAAAGUUAAUCGUUGUGCUGAUUUGUUGGUGCUUACUCGUCUCCCCCUUUAAGAAAAUAAAGAAAAGAAAAAGAAUGGCUUUAAAGGGGAAAGCUGACCCCGGCGUGUUAACAGCGCCACUGUGGUUCCAGGCUGCGGUCAGGCCAGCUGUCUAGUAAAGAGAAAUUCCAUUGCAGCACAAGUAAUAAAACCUUCUUUUAAAGCACAGAUACCAUGCAGGGAGGAAAUGUAAGCCCCUUGCAGGGGAAAAGGGAGGUGGGGCUGUCUGAGGUAAAAUACGGCCUGGAGCAGUGGAGACUGGGGCCUCCACACGACUGGAUAGUCUUCAAUUGAAGCAGCUAUUCCUCUGACCCAGAGGCCUCUCUUUUCCAUCCAUCGCCUUCAGGACUCUAGGAAGAUGUAAGCUAUUAUGGGAGGUUAUCAUCAUUGUUAUUCAUACGAUGGAAUGCUUAUCAUCCGCUCUGCUUUCCCAAAGCGACCGCUCUGUAAGAUGGGUGGUAGGGACAUUCUCAGUAUGAUAGCUAGCAUGCUUAAGUCUGCUCUAGUGGAGUGACAGAUACCAAGAGGCCAGGCCACCAUGUCACUUCUGAGACUAUCUUAGACUCAGAAGUGUUCUUAGACUCAAAAUUGACAAACAAUCGACUUUCCUUAAAAUCUGGGUCAAUACUCACUGUACUUACCACCCUUGACACUACACAAACUGGGCUAACUGGUCCUGGACUCCAGUAAAAGGCAGCGGUUUGCAAAAGGAGGGAGCUGGAAUCCCAUGUCCGUCAGUCACCACAGACUGUCACACAACCGCUCAGUAUCCCUGAUCUCGGCCAGACAGGAAAGCAGGGCUCAUUGACCAGGUAAGGCUUUUUGACCCAGGAAAAGCAGCAGACUGAAGGCUAAAUCUGAUUCCUAAUGUGGGCUCUUCAUUACAACACUCACACCAUCAUCCCAGGUCGGUCCCAUCCGGAAAAGCCUUUAGAAUGGCAGGGCAGAGCUCAUGAAUGCUUGGCUAGGAGCUCAGGCCCGACUUGCCCUCCCCUUCUCCUCUCCUAGGCUGGAAGGGAGGGGAAGAGCGGUCACUCCAGGAUGGUAAACUGCAGUAGCCACUUUAACACUAAUGAAUUACACAGAAAGAUAUGAAGACAAGUAUUUCCUCCAGCCCUCCCAGCACAGGAGCGGUAUGUAAACAUUACGCUUCGCCCCCCGCCCCCUACCACUUUGGACUUAAUUGUAUUCCUAAUUGGAAAUGAAAAUUAAUUUGCUUUUGAUCAAUUCCAGGUGGCAGAUCAGCCCAAACUGGUAGCAGAGCGUUUUCUCCUCUGUGAGUGACCACACACAUGUGCCAUAAACACCAGGCUGCGCCGGCAUAAACAGGAAGCCCCUGCCCUGCGUGCAAGGGCUUCCGAUGUCUCUCUGCCUCUCUUCCCUUGGCUGAUUGGCACCAUUCAAUUUUUUAAUAAAAGGAUUUACCAAAGUGCCGGUGCUUGUGGAAAUAAACUGCUGACAGCCUCGCUGCGUUAAGUGCGUAAUUAAGGCUGUGAGGUACAGAUGCUGAACAAUAGUGGCCUACAUCAAGAUGUAUGCGGUGGUAUCACAAAUAACCUGGCAUCUGGUUUCUUUAUCGAAGAACCUUUCUUACGGUUUGGAUCUUAAUUUUUUACAGUUGACAGCAGUGUUAUUUGAGCCAGUCAGUGGCAUCUGGCUGCUGGGGGGGGGGGGAAGAAAAGAAAGAAAGAGGGGGGGAAUCUCCAUGCACUUUAAUUAAUUGUGGAGAAAUUACAUGGCCCUUCAACCGUGUAGUUUGUCAUCAGCGCGCAUUACAGAUUUAUAUUAGAUGUUUCUCCACAGUGUCAGGAGUAAUUAAAAGGGGGUAGGAAAUGAUGCCAACCAGCCAUGCUUUAACAGCGGUGCUGAAAGUUUUCUAUUUAUUACAGCCAAACAAUUUUAGAAGAAGAUGUCAACUCGGAGGCUUCGCUGUGCAUGGAAUACAUAUCAGGCUGCAGUGGAAAGCUGAAACAGUGUGGCUGCCGGGAUAAUGAGAGAGGCUCAUGUUUAAUCUAUCAGACCGACCAGAAUUGGUGUGGCGUGCCAGAGUUAUUAACGACGUGGCAUCCCCCUUUCUCAUGAAAACAUUCACCCAACACAAUAAGUACCAUGUGCUUUUCCCUGCUUUCCAGAAGCGAUCUUCAUCCAGUUGCUCUCUCUGAUCCUAAUAAGAACAGAAGUGCCAACAGCACACGAGUCACGAUUCUCCUCCAUUAGCUUGUGCCACACUUACAGCUUGGGCGCUGCUGGUGCAGGAAUCCAGGACAAAGAUCUGGAAAGGAUGCCUGUCUUCAUUGGGCACACCACUGUGGCACACCCCCCUCCCUCGCCGAAACUUCCUGUGACAGAGAUCACAGGAGCUCAGUGAAGACACUCCUAACCCAUACUAGCCGAGAAACCUGACUCUGUGUCUGUCCCUAUUCCCGAGACCAUCAAACAAACCACAGACAAAUUCCUUUAUCUUUCCCAGGCGUCAGAGCCAGGGUCUACAGUGAGACCAGCAGUAGAGGGAAGUAUCUGAGGAACAUCCCACAGGCCCACAAGGGAGGUUCUGGAACAGCCAUACGUAGGAUGUCAAUCUUCGAGUUGGCUCUUCCAGCCAAACCACUUUCCCUUCCUAUCAUCAGCUCACCCGGCGCACACUUCAGCAGGAUUGUUAGACCCUCUCACCCUGCAUUGUGUAUCUUGCAGAAGAGCCACUAUGCACAAUAAUCCCUUAAUAUGUGAUGCCUGUCACUUCUUAUUUAUUAGCUUCUUGCCCUGGAUAGUUUCCUAAUUUCCAUUUAGCUAGUCUGGCCCUGAACAGGAGACACCCUGGGAAUGGAAGCCUCAGGAAACCGCACCUUUGCCCCUGGGGAAGCAUGUGCCAGCAGGGCAGCCAGGAGGAGUUCUCCCCUGGGGGCUCUGGGUCUAGACAGUGACAUGGUCCUCUGUGAGAUGAGGACGGUCCUUUGGGUACAGUGCCUCUCCGAAUGGCAGGUGAGUCCACUAGCUCCCACCCAGUUCAGGUGAUGCUUUGCAGCUAGGAGACAACACCCUUGGUCAUUCUAAACACUUUCAUUUCCCCAAUCUAUAGACUAGCAAUUCAGAAGCACGUCCAUACCUAAAUAAAACAGGUUUUAAGCACAGUUUUCUUUGGCUGAUGGGGGUUAGAAAAGCCACCGUUCAUCUUUCUAAGCUACUCUCUGAACUUCAAACAGAUGCUGAACGUCUCGAUGCUUCUCUGUGUUCUGUCUCUUCUCAGCUCCCAGCCCCUUGAACAGUACUCUGCUUGUGUGCUUUGCAAUACCUCCAAACACCAAGCCCAUUUCGUUUUAGGGGCUCUGCACUUACCUGCUCCCUCAAUUUGUAACAUGUGGUUGUUGACCUUCGGGUCUUUCAGACACUGGUUUACAUUGCCAUUCCUGACCUCUCUAAAUCUACUCUCGAUAGUCUGCCACUUCCCAUCCCACCAUCUGCAAUUAUCUUAUUUCUAUAUUUGUCUAACGUGAGUCCCUACCACAGUAACAAAAGCACAGAGAGAACUCCAUGUGCUUUAAGAAACAUAUUAAGGGAGCUGGGGAGAUGAUUCAGUGGUUAAGAGCACUUGCUCCUCUUAUAGAGGACCUGGGUUCAGUUCCCAGCAUCCACAUGGAGGCUCACAGUCAUCCAUUCCAGGGGAUCUGAUGCCCUGCUCUGCUCCUCGUGGCACUAGGCACACAAGAGGUGCACAUACAUAUAUGCAUGUAAACAUUCAUACAUGAGAGAGAGAGAGAGAGAGAGAGAGAGAGAGAGAGAGACAGACAGACAGACAGACAGAGACAUAGACAUCCAGGGGCUACAGAAUUGCUCUGCAGUUAAGAAUACAAACUACAGGACUGAAGAGAUGGUUAAGAGAACUGACUGCUCUUCCAGAGGUCCUGAGUUCAAUUCCCAGCAACCACAUGGUGGUUCACAACCAUCUGUAAUGGGAUCCAAAUACCUUUUCUGGUGUGAUCUGAAGGCAGUGUCAGGAAACCUCCAUAAAACAAAUAAAUAAUUAUUUCUUUUAAAAAAAGAACACAAGCUAUUCUUGCAAAGGACCUGAGUCCCAUUCUCAGCACCUAUGUUAGGCAUCUCUUAACUGCCUGUACCUCCAACUCCAAGGAGAUCUAAUGACUCUGGCCUCCUCAGGCAACUGCACUCAUGUGCACAUUCCCCACCCUCAACAGUUAAACAGAAAAGAAACAUAUCUGUAGUUGCAAAUAAUCCUUACUUCAUUUCUUUCUAUAAUCAUUCAGAAAGUCUUCAAUCUAGUUACUACAGCUGAGAUUUUUGCCUUAUAAAUAAUUUUCCUAUAUCCCAUUUAGAUUCUGAAGUCACCAAUAAACCUCCUUUUUGGAGUAAUCCUACUGAAAAUCCUAGCCACAUUUACAGAGAUGUAGACCGGGAAUCAUUGUUAUUGGAAAGCUGAGAGAGUGAAUGGGCUGAAUCACUGCAUGCAUGUCCCUGAAAGGCCUGUUCUCAUCACUGGUAUCCAAAGCACUGUACUUGAACGGGUUUGAACUCUGCUCUGAGACAGGGCUUACAGGCCUUCAACUCCUCACUAACUCAGGUCUGCAAGGGGCAGCCGUGUGCACCUGUGGUCAAGGUAGACUCAGUCCUUACUGGGCUCCCACCCUCUGGCCUUCAACAGUGAAUAUCAAUGGGAACCCUAUUGCCUGACUAGGGUCAAGAGGCCCAAGUGUCUUGAAACCAACAGAGGACAAACUCUUACAGGAAGUGAAAGGCAUCAGGAGCCGGUAGAUAAAUGGUCAGAGCCUCCAAAUGCCUCAGGUUGUGUUUGUUGCUCCUUACAGAAAGUUAAGCAUCCAGGUACUCACCUGGUACAUAGCAGAUGGAACUUGUGUUGAGUGUGGAGGACAGGCCUAACACUAAGGACCACGAGGGCUAGGUCAUGUCUUUAUAGUUCUCUACUAUAUGCUCAGUGCUUUGAACAGCUUGGCAAACAUUGCUGAAUAAACUGACCAGUGACUCCUCACCUGGCUCUGGGCUGCAGGGCUAAGAUUCUGAACAAUCUUGCAGAAGUGAAACGCCCCUCCUCCAGGUUUCUCUUUUUGUCCCUGUCCUUCACUCCCCAGUCCCGCCUCUCUCCGUCUACUCUAAUACUCUUGGAGAAACAGAGGCAUUUCUGGAGUUGCUCCUGAUAAUCCCCACCCUCAUCAAGGGUCUUGGCACACUGUUUUCCUGCCCCUCACUGCUCCACUGCUGUGUUCCCUGCUGUUUCAAGGGCAUGCCAGGACUGAAGGUUUGUAAAGUCACCUGGCGAGUGUGACACAUGUAGUAUCGGUCAGCUCUGCUCUGAUCCCUUCCUCCAAGUCUCAGACUCCCCUAAACUCCAGCAUUCCAUUUUCAAGAGGAAGAAAGAAAGCCACAUGAACGGGAGGUCCCAUAUCUCCAAGGCAGACCUCCUGCUGGCUGCUCCUAACCCUCCUCCCUCUUCUGAUUCAUGUGCUCUCUGUCCAGGGAGUGGAUCAGAGAGCAGACAGUAUCGAAGACACUGCUCUGGUACUGAAGCCUAGCCUUCAAAGUAGCCAGCGAAGCUUCUGGGAAGGCGGGAGAGCCACUUUACAGCUAUGCCUAAUCACUAUGCCGCUGGCAUUGAGGCAGAAGUCUCUUCAUAAGGUGCUUUCCCUCUUGGACCUUAGCCGACUCUGCCUCCAAAUGUUUGGUAUGUUCUGAGACCCCCCAAGAACAGUUCUGGGCUCUAAGGAGGUCAAUCUAGCUAUACAAUGAGUGAGGUUCCUCCAAGCUCCUAAACCCUGACACUUCUACAGUUGAAACAUCUUACCGGAUCCUCUGACAACCUCUGGUAGACUACAGUGUCUGAGGACGGGUCUCCACGUAAACCCCGGUUUAAUGCAGCUGUAGUCACGGUGAAGAGGACGGCAAAGCAUUCACUAUGGGAGCAAAGGUUCCAGUGGUGCCUUAGACACACACACCUUCACGGGCAAGGGUGUUAUAGCAAAUGUACCUACUCACACUGCAAAGAUCAUUCACUGACAGUGCUAAGGGAAGUCUGAAGUUGCAGGCAACAUCACCAUUCUGAGAGCUUAGUCUAUAUCCACACAUGUACAAAGUCUUAGUAGUACAUCAAGUACAUUAUAAGCCAGUGGCCCAGGUUUCUGUGGUGUCUUCAUUAACAUUAUCUUUAUUUUUCUAAAGUAGAAGGAUCAUAAAACUCAAGCCAUCUGUUAACAGUAGGACCAUAAAUACACACCCUUUAUAUAAAGGCUUCUAGGAAGUAAGAAAAAAAAAACAUCCAAAAUAUGUGUUACGUGAUGGUAAAGUGAACAAACAGUGGGUCGGGGCACCCAUAGCAUGCCAGCGCUGGGCACCGGGGCUCCUUCAGGAAUCCCGAAAGCUCAGCUGCCUUCUUUCUGUCUUGGUUCCCACAAGGUGACAUGAAGGGGUGCUAAGUGGUUAGAACCCUUCCUUCUCUGAAACUCUAUACUCAUUCUCAGUGCAGUGAAGAACUCUGGGCAGCCUGCUGUACCCCUUAAAGGAGGGGUCUUGAGAUACAAAGGGGUGCGCUUGUUCUCUUUUGGGGAAUGUCACACCCCAGCAUGGCCUAACAGCAGGUUCCUGGCAGCCAUGUUGGUCUGGUGUUGCUGAUUCACUGGUAUAGACGGAUGUUUCAGAAAUGGGCACCUAGCCCAGGCUGGAAAAAGCCGAACAACAUAGCAAUGUGCUGGCUUAAUCCAGAAGCUGACUGUGACACAGGCUCUGACAAGGGCUCUCUAAUGCAUUUCCAACCCCACAGUUCAACUUGCAUUGACAUCGAGAGAAACCGACAGGAGCCUCAGCCCUCUUGGAGAUCCACUCAUUUCUGAAUACAACUGAAGUUUUGGGCAAACAGAGGUUUGAGGCAUUUUGUUUUGCCCCUCCAGUCUGUUUUUAUGACCCAGAGGGAUCCUUCUCCAUGUGUUCUGCUCUGUGCUGAGGCCCAGUACAGCCUAAUGACAGCCCUCUUAUGCAUGCAGAGAUUCCUACAGAGAUAGGCAACAAAGGCUAGGAACCCAGGCCAGCCAGAGGUUACAAACAUUAAGGAACUAAAUAUUAGAUUAGAGCUAAUCUGGUAAAUUCAGAAUACGGAGGGGCAAUAGGAACCUUAAAAUAGGAUAGACAGCUGAAAACAUGAGCUUUUUCUAUGCUCUGCACUAAUCCACCAGGCUAUCUGCGGGUCUCAUCUAGCAGGUAUUUAACCAUACACCAGAGACAUUUCCUUCGCUCGGGGAAGAAGGCCAGGGGGAAUUGUUUCCAGAUGAAAUGUUAGCUCCUUUACAUUUCUAAACCAAAGGUUUGCAGGCCUGAACUGUGCUUGCUCAUUUGCCAUCAGCACCCCAAAUUUCCAAUCUCAAAACUACAAGCUCCAGACCAAGCAACAACAAACCAAAUAAUCUGGAAAAAAGAGAAAUGUGUUCAAGCAGCCGGGGAUCUCUGGACAGCUGAGGUCUGGAUGCUCCAGAAACUUCUGACAAUUCUAGUAAUCUGAUUUAAAGACACAAACCUAAAACAAAUGCUGUUGGACUUGUCAGCAUCAAAACCUCCCAUGGUUCCCUGAAGUGGCAGGAAGCUGCUUACCAAAGGCCCCCAACAAGGACAGUGACAGCGGCCCCUGAUUACAUUCUCCAGUGCUCCUUUGCCUGAAGCUGCAGUGCUCCAAAGGAGCCUUAAGCCUACUGGUCAGUGAGGGCUUGAGCAAUGGGACGUAGGGCCCUACUCCUCCCCUCAAAACACCUCAGAGAUCCUUGUCCCGCCAAGGAGGGCACAUUCCAGUCAGUGUCUGGCUCAGAGGCCUUCGAAGGUGGACUGUGUAAUACAGAAUAAGUAUCAAAUGAAAACUCGGCUCUCAGAGCAGAGACGCCCUCAAGGCCAUCCUACCCCAGACUGACCCUUGACCGAAGAGGCUCCUGAACACUCCCCUUGUACUUCCGAGUGGGAAAGCUGCUCCGUCUUAGAAAAGACACCUGUCUUCCUUCUCCUCCAUCUUGUUAAGGACCUGGUAUGGUUCCUGGCCUUGUAAGUUGGCAUUAAGAAAUGUGUCUAAGUAAAAGCAGAUUUGCUGAAGAGAAUGUCUGCUUUAUAGCAAAGAUAACACACAUGACACAUCAGAUCCUGUUCAGUCAAUAAGGCACUUCCUUGCUGAAGAUCAGUUACUUUAAGACAUGCCUGAGUUCUUCCAAAUCACAAGGAAAAACUUGGACUGAACUCUGCAUUUUUUUGAACUGAACAACCACAGAAUCAAUCAAUCUAUCUCCCCCACCCCCCACCCACACCAUAUAAUAGGACAGUCCAGUCUUGGUCUACAUAUUACAUGUUUAGAAUGCCCUUGCUAUACAAGAAGAUUAUUAUUAUUUCUUUUAAUAACAAAAUGAUGUGCUUAAUUUUGCCACCUUAAUAUGGCUUGUACAUACAUUGGGA